rnacentral:rRNA from 1 species
CGCGUAGGCGGCUUCGAUAGUCGGGCGUGAAAUGCCUGGGCUUAACCCAGGAAUUGCGUUCGAAACUCCGAGGCUAGAGUGUGGGAGAGGUUGGUGGAAUUCCCAGUGUAGAGGUGAAAUUCGUAGAUAUUGGGAAGAACACCGGUGGCGAAGGCGGCCAACUGGACCACAACUGACGCUGAGGCGCGAAAGCGUGGGGAGCAAACA